rnacentral:rRNA from 1 species
AUUGAACGCUGGCGGCAUGCUUUACACAUGCAAGUCGAACGGCAGCGCGGGCUUCGGCCUGGCGGCGAGUGGCGAACGGGUGAGUAAUACAUCGGAACGUGCCCAGUAGUGGGGGAUAGCUCGGCGAAAGCCGGAUUAAUACCGCAUACGACCUGAGGGUGAAAGCGGGGGAUCUUCGGACCUCGCGCUAUUGGAGCGGCCGAUGGCAGAUUAGCUAGUUGGUGGGGUAAAGGCCUACCAAGGCGACGAUCUGUAGCUGGUCUGAGAGGACGACCAGCCACACUGGGACUGAGACACGGCCCAGACUCCUACGGGAGGCAGCAGUGGGGAAUUUUGGACAAUGGGCGAAAGCCUGAUCCAGCAAUGCCGCGUGUGUGAUGAAGGCCUUCGGGUUGUAAAGCACUUUUGGCGGGAACGAAAAAGACUGUGCCAAUACCACGGUUCGAUGACGGUACCCGCAGAAUAAGCACCGGCUAACUACGUG